UCCCUAUGGGGUGCAGCAGUCGCGAAAACUUUGCAAUACACGAAAGUGUGACAAGGCUAUCCCGAGUGCCAUCCGCUGAGGAAGGCUUUUACCCAGUAUAGAUAGCUGGGAGAAUAAGGAGAGGGCAAGUCUGGUGUCAGCCGCCGCGGUAAUACCAGCUCUCCGAGUAGUGUGGACGUUUAUUGGGCCUAAAGCAUCCGUAGCUUGCUAGAUAAGUCCCCUGUUAAAUCCACCGAUUCAAUCGUUGGAUUGCGGGGGAUACUGUUUGGCUAGGGGACGGGAGAGGUCGACGGUAUUUCCGGGGUAGGGGUGAAAUCCUAUAAUCCCGGGAGGACCACCAGUGGCGAAGGCUGUCGACUAGAACGCGCCCGACGGUGAGGGAUGAAAGCUGGGGGAGCGAACCGGAUUAGAUACCCGGGUAGUCCCAGCUGUAAACGAUGCGAGCUAGGUGUUGGGAUGGCUACGUGCCAUUUCAGUGCCGCAGGGAAGCCAUUAAGCUCGCCGCCUGGGGAGUACGGCCGCAAGGCUGAAACUUAGAGGAAUUGGCGGGGGAGCACCACAAGGCGUGAAGCUUGCGGUUCAAUUGGAUUCAACGCCGGAA
rnacentral:rRNA from 1 species